rnacentral:tRNA from 1 species
GGUUGUGGCUUAGCGGUAGAGCACUUGCCUCACACAUGUGAGAUCUUGGGUCCGAUCCUCAGCACCA